GGGAUUGAACCUGCAACCUUGGUUUGUCAGGACAAAGCUCUAACCUGCUGAGCUACUUGACCAGCCAGAUUUUCUAUUUAUCCUGCACUGAAUCCUGGGCGAAGUGCAUGUUUGUCUCCUGUUAAUGGUUGAAUUGUGACCCCCACAAAGAAGAUAUGUUGGAGCCCUAACCAUAAGUUCCUCAAAAUAGGCCAUACUUGGAGGACUUCAUCAAACCUACUAACAUUCUUCUCUCUAUACUACUUUCACCAAGGCCUCACAAAUUAUGGAGCCAACUCUGCUUAUAAGAACAUUUACUGGAUUUCAAAGCCUGCUUUUUAUCAGCACACUCUGGAAAAUGAUAGCCA